AUUGAACGCUGGCGGCAGGCCUAACACAUGCAAGUCGAGCGAGCGGCGGACGGGUGAGUAAUGUCUGGGAAACUGCCUGAUGGAGGGGGAUAACUACUGGAAACGGUAGCUAAUACCGCAUACAAUAAGAUAUGCCCAGAUGGGAUUAGCUAGUAGGUGGGGUAACGGCUCACCUAGGCGAAGAUCCCUAGCUGGUCGGAAAGGAUGACCAGCCACACUGGAAAUGAGACACGGUCCAGACGCCUACGGAUGGCAGCAGUGGGGAAUAUUGCACAAUGGGCGCAAGCCUGAUGCAGCCAUGCCGCGUGUGUGAAGAAGGCCUUCGGGUUGUAAAGCACUUUCAGCGGGGAGGCGUUACCCGCAGAAGAAGCACCGGCUAACUCCGUGCCAGCAGCCGCGGUAAUAC
rnacentral:rRNA from 1 species